CAGGUGAACACGGCCAUCAGCUCGCUCGGCUUCCCGCGCAGGGGUUGCAGAGCAGUAAAAAAAACCUGUCCACAGUCGUUUCUUUCAGCCGCUUGAUGCAGCAGAGAAAGACUCCGCUUGGAGUUGGGGGAAUCGGGUCCUAGGCCUUUUUGGGGGGGUGGGGGAGGAGGUGACACAUUUUGUGUCCUUGGAUAAGUCACGUAUCUCCCCAGAUCCUGGGAGAAACAGAAGGAGGAAGAAGACCCAGUCUAGAAGCUCACUGGCUCUCUGGCCCUGCGCCAGGCCCUGGGCAUACCACAGCCCCGGCAAAGUUUCCUGGAGAAAGAGGAGGGAGAGGAAAGAAGAGAGAGAAAGAUGGAGAAGAGGAGAACCUGUAAUGGCUACCCUAAUGCAUACACAUUUGUGCUUGUUUAUAAGCUCUUUCUUCAAAACGUAUUUUCUUACAUCGCUUCUGUCCCUUAACCUAUGCCUAUGGCCCAAGGCAACACUAUUGAAAACUUGUCCUUUUCUCCUUGUGCGUUCAAACAUAUUCACACGAAAAGGGAGUCAACCCUUUUUUUGUCACUAAUUAUCUUACAAAAGUUGGAUCAUACUAGAUGCGAUUCUCUGCCACUUGUUUUGCUCCCUGAACAAUAAAUACAUAAUGAAAACCCCUCUGCUUGGGGAGAUAAGAGUUCUCACUCGUUCUUUUUAACAGUGUGUAAUACUCCAUGGUGUGGACUGACUAGAGCACGUCUACACAGCCAAGAGAUUUUUUUUUGCCCAACGGUAAAAGAGAAAUAGAUAUUUUUUUAAAUGCUGGAGACUUCACUGAAUUCAUUUUACCCGGCAGGGAGCUAAACUACCUGUCAGGUUCAAAAGCCAAGCCCAUCAGCCCUGGGUGUGGGUUUGUCGGAAAGGACAAGAAAGGACUCUGCCCGGAGGAGUCCGCUCUCCUGCCAGGAAGAGGAGGACGUGGCCGUUAGACAGCAAGCCCCACAGCUGUCUGAAGGAGGGUGAAACGUGUGCCUGCAGGAGUGAAGUUUCGAGUUAACCCCCGGAGAGGGCAGCCCUGAUGGAGAAAACCCAAGAAGGAAAGUGCGGAGGUGGGAAAUUAUCUGAUGUGCUGUGUGGCUGGCACACGAAGCUAGGUAGGAAAAAAUGGGCUUCUUGCAAGGACUGGCUGAACCGCCAUCUCUUUCCCACUGACUUCGCCCUGGAAUUUCAUCAGCCCCGGGUUAUUUUGGGCCUUUCGUUUCUCCUCACCGGAGGUCGAGCCACUGUCUCUUGAUAUUCUGACUUCAGAACGGAUGAAAGUCUGAGAUUUCAAUCAAAAGCUUAAGAAAAUAAUAAUCCUUGGUUGCCCUAAUUCUUUCCUGAAAAUACCUCACACUGACAGAAAUUGUCUUUAAGCCCCUUUUCUCUUCUUUCGCGCUUUAAAUUUCUUUCUUAAUUAAAAAGAAUUGUU
rnacentral:lncRNA from 1 species